UGCAUUUGUAUAGGUAGUGACUAGAUGUACACAACUUAAUUUGCUGGGAAUGAGGGGCUUAAUAUUAUCUGAGAUCAUUGAGAACCCAGAUCAGACAGAAUAGCUUGAAUAAGUUACAUUUUCCAAUUACCCUUUUUCCACAUCUGUAGAAAGAGGGUAAUAUUUUUUAAUAGGUAUUUUCCCCACUGGAGCAUAUUACGUUUGCCUAAGAUGUAUAAAAGUUUGUUUAAGAUGUGUAAAAGUUUGCUUAAGGAACUGAGGAUCCUUAAAUAAAAAUAUUAGAAAUUAGAAAUUGAACCUAAUACUAAACAGUAAAUUCAGCUUAACCUGAACCUUGGCAUAGUCAGAGCUUCCUCCUACAUCUAAAGUAUUUGCUCUCUGUUUUAGUUAAAGUCAUAAUUUGCGCUGAUGUGUAAUCACUUUCCAAGAAGAGGGCAAUGAGAAAAGAUAUUUAAAGCUUUCUCUCCAUAGCCCUCCAAGACUUCUGGGACAACUAAAUUUACUUUCACCAUUACUGUGAGAGGAGGUGAGAAAACUCUAGUAUUUUGUUGGCAGAGUAAUCACUUUGUUCUCAUCGCUCAAAGCAUUUUUAGGAUUAUUUUUCUAGCGUAACCUUUAGAGAGAACUGGAAGAAAAAGGAAAUUGGUCUACUAGGUAUUGUAGACACAAAUAAGUAACAUUAGGCUAACCCCUUAUGAGACAUUUCCACACAAUUUCAUCGUGCCUGUACUUUUCUCUAUGGUAAAAGCCAGUGUUUACACUUUGUAGGGAUCAGGGUGUAUUUGUUGAAUUAAACAAAAUAUUUUCAAUGAUGGCAAGUCUCUUGACUUUUGAAAGCAAGUCAGAUUCCUUAUAGCUAAUGCUGGUGAAAAAUGUUAAAUUGGAGAGAUCCCUUUUGGGAGUGAAACCAAAUUGUAACUAUGAGGAGAAGAUGGUCUUCUCAUUGGCUCUUGAUGUAGCUCUGAAGGGAGUUCCAGAAGAGGAGCUCUCACAGAAUGUUGAGCCUGUGGGCCCAAGACAUUGACUUCGAAGGGUAGUUCUCAUUAGGAUGUAUAAGUAGUGGCUUGAGGCACCUUCUUAUCAUUUUUUGCAUGUUAUUCUGAUUAUUAAACUUCCCCCAAUGUCAUAUUCCAUGAUGAGGGAUUUCUGAACUCCAUAGUCCAGCGUUGUUGCUUUUCUCUCUUCUUUGCUACUGAAAAUUGCCAGCAGUACCGCCAUCAGCACACCAAAUCUACCCCCACUUAUGUUUGUUCUGCCCCAUUUCCCAGGAGCAGCUUCUAGCACAUAUGUAGAGUAUCUGGCACCACCUUAGCCCAGGGCUGCGUGCCUGAUCAGUGGGGAUUCUGUUCCCCCACCCCCCAGACUGCAAGAGCUUCUUAAGAAGGAGCCCAUAUUCCCAUUUGUAGCUGGAAAGCGGGUGAAUGACAUGACAUGGGGCACCUAGGAAAGAUGAUUAUUAGAGGAGUGCAGCGGAAAAAAAUUUGCACUCUUCUCCUUUUGGUUAUUACUUUCCAAAUAUAUUAACAAAAAGUUGAUGCUUUUAACUUUAUAUUUUCAGAAAAGUGUUUUUAAUUAAAAAUAUGUGAUAGGGACCAAAUAAGUAAAGUACAUUUUUCUCCACUAAAUUUGAAGUGAGGGAAAGAGGAGCCAAAGUAAGAGAUUUUUUUUUAAGGAAACUUAAUCUGAUUGUGAAAAUCAUACAUAUGGAGAAACAUCAGAUCAGGCAAUAGAGUCAGAGGGUCAUGAGCAAUAGACGAUGAUGCGAGGCAUUUGGGGAGCUUCCUGGAGGAAAAUUAAGUUUUUUUCCUAGCAAACUACCAUGUCCUACAAGAACUUGGUUAUAUAAUGGUGCGUCUCUGAAUCACUGAUUAAAACCAGUUGCUUCUGAUUUUAGUCACAGGUUUUACAAGUAUUCAGCUCUCCCUCAUGUUUCAUUUCUUUUUUUAAGAUAAUCUAUCAACCUUUUUUAAAUUUUAAAAUUUUUAGAUGUAGAGUUUAUAAGUAAAAUAUAUUUUUAGCCAUUGUUCUGUUAGCUGAGCUGAUGUGUUUGGUCUUAGAGGGCCUGACUUCAGAUACUCUUUGUGAUCUUGUAAGGGCUCUACACAAACUUCAUUAUGUAUGGUAAAUUUGUAUUCUUAUGGAUUGUAUAUAGAAUGCUUUCGUUAGAAGUACAUUCUACUUCUGUAUGUCCCUUUGUAAUCCGCAGUUGCUUACUCAGGGGUUUCAUAGUCAUUUCAUAAAAAAUAAUUCACUAGCUGUCUAAUGGUAUUUUAAGACUGUUUAUCUGUAUCACAACGUCAUUAGGAGUUCUUUCAACAAUUCCAUAAAUAUACUGUUUACUAGACCUUCCCUGUAAAUGUUCCCAAUUCCCAUCCUGUCUCAGACAGUCAAUAGUCCUGUGUACAGUGACUAUUUGCAUGAUUUCUCAUUGCACUGCUGCAUUCAGGCACUCCAGGGCAUGAUUAAACAGUCAUUAACAGUGCCUCUCUGGUACAGUUGAUGCAUGCAUUGAUCUUUCUUCUCUGCUGUUUUUAUAUAGCCUUUAAUUAAAAGGAAAAAAAUACCACUACUCUGCAAUGCAAAAGUCUUCAAAAUUCUUUGUUUCCUGUAUUAAUCACUUCUGUUCCAGAGUGAACAAAUGUUUUCAGCUAAGCUAUGUGAGAAUGUAAGAAUAAUAUCCUGCUUGUUCUAAAUAGUUCAUAUAUUUAAAGUGUGGUCAGUAUUUCCUCCCUGUACCUUACAAACAGAAACCACCCUGGGAUGGUUGAUACCCCUUACAAAGUCGAUCUUACCCACACAGACUCCUGUGUAUGCGUGUCUGUUUAUAGGUGUAUAUGGAGUCAGUGUUGAUAGGAAGGAUGCUCUAGAAGUACUUCUGUUGUUUCCUAGAAGGCUAUGAGCCAGUUCCAUGGCAUGUUUAAUGUAUAAUUCCCAUGUAUCAUGAGAAUUUCACUAGAAUGUCAUUAAACAGCCCAACUACCUCAUGUGAAAUUGGCUGUGGACAAUCUGUGUCAGAUGAGAAAUGUGUUCAGAUAAAUUUAAUCUGGUUAAUAGACUUAACAAAUUAAUGUCUACAUAAAGAAGAAACAUGAUAGACCAGAUGCCAAAGGCUAAAAUGUACAUAGAUUUCCUUGGAUUAAUUUUUAAGUCACUGUUUAAUUCCAUGCCUAGUAUUCUUAUGAAUGUUUGUGGUUUCAUAGAUUUAUGCACUUUGAAUAUCUGUCACGUGCAGUGUUAAUGUUACCUGUUCUUGUCUCUCAGCAUUUUGAAUGAGCAUCAUAAUCAGAGUAGAAGGCAAGUUAAACUAUAAAAGUGUCAAGUGGCUUGUUAACUUCUUAAUUUAAUGGACCUUUACUUAGAAUAUAAUAUGUUGGAGCCUCUUGGGACCAACCGAUGAGCGACAGUUUCAUGUUUAGAUUUGUAUUGUUUCUCUGUCCAAGUCCUUAUUCUCUAUCUUGUGGGGAGGGGUGACAGGGGAGGGUUUUACUUUUUUUGCAAAAAUGUUUGAAAAUAUCUGUCAGAUUUUAUAUUCGUUAGUUAUAAUAAACUUAUUUUUAAAGU
rnacentral:lncRNA from 10 species